AGCCAGGAAGUGGCGAGAAACACUGGCCACUCACAUUAGAACCAGUUUCUGCUUGCAGUUGUAGCCGAGAUGUCGCUGGAGGGAUCUUUUCUAAGAUAAAUAUGAAUCCAUCUACACAAGCUUCAACCGUUUCUUUUUUCUUUUCUUUUUUUUUUGUGGAGGCGUAAUGCGCCAACGAAGCUCCAGAAGGGCCCGUGUGACAUUUGUACUAUUAUGGAUGUGCCCACGCAGAUGAGAGGAGGUGGAAAGGCCAUCCGAGACUUUUCUUCACGUCGAAUCAAGAAGAGAGCAGAGAGAAAGAAGUAGCUUCAAUUCAAUGUUUUACCUUAUCUAGAAACAUUUCCAUUUCUGUUAUUUAAUAUGAACCACUGGUUUCACGUUAUUUUCGAUGCAUAGAUAUUAUGGAAAUAUAUAGAAAGUAAAAAUAGUACCAACUGCAAUUAUUUUCAUUGAAUUGUUUGUUAGGUUGCCAAUUUUCAGGAAAUGUCUGUAUUUUUUUUGCUAUCACUUUCACAAUUAAAUAUUGUCUACAGCAGAACUAAACCAAACAUAUUUUACAUAUUUUGAAACUGUCGUGUAUUUGAUUUGGUGAUCAUGUGAAAUGCUUCCGAUGUGUCUAAAUUAAAACUACAAGGAUUGCUACAA